GGACAGAAGGUGGCCUUUGCAGACAGCUCUGCGCCUUGACUUUGGUGCCAGCAUUGCAGAGCUGCAGUUUCAAGGCUCUUGCAGAGACUGAUUCCAUCAGAAUGAAGAGAAGUUGAUGGCAUCUGCUGAGCUUCGUAGAGAAAGGCUUUGCAUGGAUGGGAAAUCCUCAGUUCAGCAGCUGACGUCCUAGAAUACUUUGUGGAAACUGGUUAAACUCUCUCAUGUGUUCACAUGAUGCGGCUCGGUUUUAUGAUAUGAAAUGGGCCAGUAAUACAGAUCCUGCUGUGACUGCCUUAUUGAGGGGGCCGAAUAAAAGCGAUCGCAGAUGUGAAUGCAUUUUGAAAGGGAAAAUCUGUGUUUGCAGGUGAAUUUGGAACCAUCUUCAGAAUCAGGCUGCCGUGCCGUCUGUCAGUGUAUUGUAAUUGAGACCUGCAAGGGCUCUUCUCACACCUGGGAACAUCAUGGUGACAUUGCAUCUGCCACCAGCUCCAGCCCCAGGAAGGUAGCAUGUGAGGACAGGUGUGGCUGGUUAUCGUCCUGACGCCUGGUUAAGGCAUAAUAAAAAUCAGAUGCUGUUGGCCUCCCAUCGAAA